rnacentral:rRNA from 1 species
UCAAGGAAGCUACGGCUUAUGGUGGAUGACUUGGCUUCCGCAGGCGAUGAAGGACGCGGUAAGCGGCGAUACGCUCGGGGGAGUCGCAAACAGGCUUUGAUCCCGAGGUCUCCGAAUAGGGAAACCUUCCCUGAUUAAUAUCAGGGAGUCCCGGUAUUAUGCCGGGAUGCUAACCCUCCGAAGUGAAACAUCUCAGUAGGAGGAGGAAAAGAAAUCGUAAGAGAUUUCCCCAGUAGCGGCGAGCGAAAAGGAAACAGCCCAAAUCUGGUAUGUGUCAAGCCUGCUGGCGUUGCAUACCGGAGGUCGCGGGGUAUUCUCGGAGAAGGCAGCAGACUUCUCGGGAAGUUACAAAUCUUGCUGGUAGCCGAAUUUGCUGGAAAGCAAAACCAGAGAAGGUGAUAGUCCUGUAGGCAAAAUCAGCAAGACUUUCUGGAGAAUAUCCCCAAGUACUGUCGGGCACGGGAAACCCGGCAGGAAUUUAGGCAGGCCUCUGUCUAAGGCUAAAUACUUGCGGAAGACCGAUAGCGUACAAGUACUGUGAAGGAAAGUUGAAAAGCACCCCUGAGAGGGGAGUGAAAUAGAACCUGAAACCAUAAGCUAACAAAGCGGUCGGAGCCACGAACCGUUACUGGUUCAUGGUGACGGCGUGCCUUUUGUUUAAUGAACCGAGGAGUUAUUGUGUGCUGCGAGUCUAACCCCGCAGAACGGGGGGAGGCGUAGCGAAAGCGAGUCUGAAUAGGGCGCUUUAGCAGUACGCAAUAGACCCGAAGCCGGGCGAUCUACCCAUGGCCAGGGUGAAGUCUCGAGAAAUCGGGAUGGAGGCCCGAACCGGUGUCGGUUGAAAACGGCUCGGAUGAGCUGUGGGUAGGGGUGAAAGGCCAAUCAAGCUCGGUGAUUGCUGGUUCUCCCCGAAAUAGCUUUAGGGCUAGCCUCAGGUAAAUGGGCUCAGGAGGUAGAGCACAGGAUGAGCUAGGGUUCCAAGUCGGAAUACCAAACUCAACCUAACUCCGAAUGCCUGAGUACCUUAUCCUGGGAGUCAGACCAGGAGGGAUAAGCUUCUUGGUCGAAAGGGAAACAGCCCAGACCGUCAGCUAAGGUUCCCAAACGCAGGCUAAGUGGUAAAGGAUGUGGAAUUGCUUAGACAGCCGGGAUGUUGGCUUAGAGGCAGCCAUCAUUUAAAGAGUGCGUAAUAGCUCACCGGUCGAGUGAUUCUGCGCCGAAAAUGAUCGGAGCUCAAGCCUGCUACCGAAGCUACGGCUCUGUACCAGAUUUAUCUCGGUACAGAGGGUAGGGGAGCAUUCUCUUUGGCGUUGAAGCUGAGCCGCGAGGCUUGGUGGAGCAGAGAGAAGUGAUUAUCUCGGUAUGAGUAGCGAAAAUUGCGGUGAAAAACCGCAACGCCGAAAGUCUAAGGUUUCUUCUGCAAUGUUAGUCAGCAGGAGGUUAGGCGAGACCCUAAGCUAAACCCUGGAAUCCGGGGGUAGGUGAUGGGAGAGCCUGUCAAUAUUCAGGCCCCAGCUAAGAGGGUUAACUUAUGCGGGGACGCAGAAGGUAAAACAGUCAGGGUGUUGGAUGUCCCUGUGCCUGAGCAAUCAGGCCGAGCCGGCGCUACGGCAAAGGCGAAGCUGUUGAAACUAACUGCCAAGAAAAACCGCAUAAGUUCUUCUUAGCUGCUCGUACCGCAAACCGACACAGGUAGACCACCAGAGAAUGGUAAGGCGCUCGAGAUAAACCUCGCUAAGGAACUCGGCAAUCUAGCCCCGUACGUUCGCAAGAAGGGGUCCCUGUACUAGGCGCUUGCGCUUCAGUACAGGGCGCAGUGAAAGGGCUCCCGGGACUGUUUAGCAAAAACACAGGUCUCUGCUCAAGCCGAAAGGCGAUGUAUAGGGACUGACACCUGCCCAGUGCCGGAAGGUUAAGGUGAGGGGUUACCCUGUACCAUUUGGUACAGGGGAAGCUUCAAUCCGAAGCCCCGGUGAACGGCGGCCGUAACUAUAACGGUCCUAAGGUAACAUUCGUUGCCUGUCCUGGUGGCAACACCAGGAGUAAUACUCGGCUGUAUGCGGGAAAACCUUUAGAGCUCAAACUACUCUUAAGGCGCGGGCUUGAGAGUAAAAAUGUUUGAGAUUAGGCAAUCCGCAGGAAAUUCUGUCUUUAAGGCAGAAGAUCCUCAGAGACUAUACGCCGAGCUUCCCCGGAAAAGAGGUGGUAAGUAUGGAUUUAUCAGCAGAUUGGAUAGUGGGUUUUACAGAUGGAGAAGGAUGCUUCUAUGUGGGUAUUUACAGACAUCCGGAAAUGAAAACCGGCUGGCAGGUGCUUCCGGAAUUCAGAAUAGUGCAGCAUGAAAAAGACAUCAGACUCCUUUACGCUAUAAAGCGGUUCUUUCGUUGCGGCAAAGUAAGAAAGAACCACGAACAGCGUUAUGAAGUAUGCAUUCGGAAGUUAGACUGCCUGAAGGCGGUUAUCGGCUUUUUCCGCAGGCAUCCUCUUAAAACUUCUAAAAGGUUUGAAUUUGAGAAAUUUGCCGAUGUUGUCCGCAUGAUGCAGGAAGGCAGACAUCUUACGCCGGAUGGUCUAAGAAAGAUAGCUGGCAUUGCCAGAAGAAUGAAUACAUCGCACCAUCCGAGAUUAGAAGAUAUUUACAAAGAAUUGGGGAAGAAGAUAUAGUCCGCACUCUAAGGAUAACUUAGGGAGUAAUGUGAGCGAAAUUCCUUGUCGGGUAAGUUCCGACCCGCACGAAAGGUGCAACAAUGGGAGCGCUGUCUCGGCGAGGUUCUCGGCGAAAUUGUAGUGGCGGUGAAGAUGCCGCCUACCCGCAGUAGGACGAAAAGACCCCGGAACCUUUACUGUAGGCUGGUAUUGAAUUUUGAUGCAACAUGUGUAGCAUAGGUGGGAGGCUGUGAGUCUGGGACGUCAGUUCCAGAGGAGCCGUCAGUGAAAUACCACCCUUGUUGUAUUAAGGUUCUAACCCCGAAACUUCGGGGGACAGUGCCAGUUUGGCAGUUUAACUGGGGCGGUUCCCUUCUAAAAGGUAACGAAGGGGCUCAAAGGUACCCUCGGUCCGGUCGGAAAUCGGACUGCGAGUGUAAGGGCAUAUGGGUGCCUGACUGUGAGGAAGACAUUCCGAGCAGGCAAGAAAUUGGGACCUAAUGAUCCGGUGGUUGCGUGAGGUAGCGCCAUCGCUCAACGGCUAAAAGGUACUCCGGGGAUAACAGGCUUAUCGGGCCUAAGAGUUCCUAUCGACGGCCCGGUUUGGCACCUCGAUGUCGGCUCGCCCUAUCCUGGGGCUGGACAAGGUCCCAAGGGUCCGUCUGUUCGCCGGUUAAAAGGGCACGCGAGCUGGGUUCAGAACGUCGUGAGACAGUUCGGUCUCUAUCCACUGUGGGCGCUGGAUUCUUGAAGGGGAGCUGUUCCUAGUACGAGAGGACCGGAAUAGGCGAACCGCCAGUGUACCAGCUAUCGCGCCAGCGGUAAAGGCUGGGUAGCUAUGUUCGUUCAGGAUAAGCGCUGAAAGCAUCUAAGCGCGAAGCUUACCCCAAGAUUAAGAAUCCCUCCCUGUACCGUAUGGUACAGGGUGUAGGGCACUCCGAGACUAGGAGGUUGAUAGGAUGCAGGUGUAAGUGCGGUAACGCAUUCAGCCGAGCAUUACUAAUUGCCCAAUCGACUUGAU